UCCGUCUUUAAAUCUGGAACCAUGGACUAAAGAAGAGGACUCUAAACUGAAAGCAGCAAUCGCUGAACAUGGACAUUGCUGGUCCAAGAUAGCAACAUUGGUGCCUCCGCAUACUAAUAAUCAGUGCAGGAGGGAUCGAGAAGGAGAUUGGAGCACUGCAGCUAGAAGAGAAAAAGCUUGUUGCUAAAAUAAAGAAGACCACCAAAACUGGAAAUGAAGCUGCAACUAAAAUUUUGGCCCAUCAACUUAUCAGGCUUGGGCAACAAAUUGCUAAUUUACAAGGUAGUCGAGCUCAUAUGCGAGGUAUAGCAACUCUCACACAGG